CCUACGGGGGGCAGCAGUGGGGAAUAUUGCACAAUGGGGGAAACCCUGAUGCAGCGACGCCGCGUGAGUGAAGAAGCGCCUCGGCGCGUAAAGCUCUGUCAGCAGGAACGACGAUGACGGUACCUGAAGAAGAAGCCCCGGCUAACUACGUGCCAGCAGCCGCGGUAAUACGUAGGGGGCAAGCGUUAUCCGGAUUUACUGGGUGUAAAGGGAGCGUAGACGGCGGGGCAAGUCUGGAGUGAAAGGCCGGGGCCCAACCCCGGGACCGCUCUGGAAACUGCCCGGCUGGAGUGCGGGGGAGGUAA
rnacentral:rRNA from 1 species